AUUGAACGCUGGCGGCAUGCCUUACACAUGCAAGUCGAACGGCAGCACGGGAGCAAUCCUGGUGGCGAGUGGCGAACGGGUGAGUAAUAUAUCGGAACGUGCCCAGUCGUGGGGAUAACGUAGCGAAAGCUACGCUAAUACCGCAUACGAUCUAUGGAUGAAAGCGGGGGAUCGCAAGACCUCGCGCGAUUGGAGCGGCCGAUAUCAGAUUAGGUAGUUGGUGAGGUAAAGGCGUCACCAAGCCGACGAUCUGUAGCUGGUCUGAGAGGACGACCAGCCACACUGGGACUGAGACACGGCCCAGACUCUACGGAGGCAGGCAGUGGGAAUUUUGGACAAUGGGCGCAAGCCUGAUCCAGCAAUGCCGCGUGCAGGAAGAAGCAUC
rnacentral:rRNA from 1 species